CUGCGGGGUAUUGAAUUUGAGGCUGCUCUCAGCAUUACUGCUCAUCUCAAAGAGGAACAAAUGGUCCCCCAAAUGGUCCAGAUGCAACAGUAGGGGAAGGAGUGCCACCAUUCAUUUUGAGGUGCCUGAGCCAUACUCUGGAUGAAGCCCACAGCUCUAACAUAAGGCGGUCUCUGUGUUCCAGAUUUUUUUUUGUAACUAUGAAAUCCUUGCCUUGUAGUCAAGUUAAAGUGAAAUAAA
rnacentral:sRNA from 1 species